CCUAAGCGUGGAUAAGCCGAAGCUCAUGCAAAAAGCACGCUGCGUUCCUCAGUCCCCCAGGGCGAAUCCAAUAAAGAGCUAUAACACAGCCGAAACUGCUACCUUCUCUCUAUGCUUUUCCGCCCCGAAAAACUGAUGCGGGCCUGCCAAUCGAGUUGCCCCGAAUAGCAAGUAUCACUGCAUGUGUUUCCCUUCCAACAAUUUCACGUACUGUUAACUCUCUUUCCAAAGUGCUUUUCAUCUUUCCCUCACGGUACUUGUUCGCUAUCGGUCUCUCGCCAAUAUUUAGCUUUAGAUGGAAUUUACCACCCAAUUUGAGCUGCAUUCCCAAACAACUCGACUCUUCGAAAGUGUAUCACAAAGUAAUAGGCAUCCGCAUCGUGUACUGGGUUCUCACCACUAUGACGCUCUGUUCCAAGAGACUUGUAUGCGGUCUAUCACGGAAAACACUUCUCGAGAUUACAACUCGGACGUCGAAGACGCCAGAUUACAAAUUUGAGCUUUUCCCGCUUCGCUCGCCGCUACUAGGGGAAU
rnacentral:rRNA from 1 species